CACUGAACAUUGAGCCUUGAUGUGUAGGAUAGGUGGGAGGCUUAGAAGUGUGGACGCCAGUCUGCAUGGAGCCGACCUUGAAAUACCACCCUUUAAUGUUUGAUGUUCUAACGUUGACCCGUAAUCCGGGUUGCGGACAGUGUCUGGUGGGUAGUUUGACUGGGGCGGUCUCCUCCUAAAGAGUAACGGAGGAGCACGAAGGUUGGCUAAUCCUGGUCGGACAUCAGGAGGUUAGUGCAAUGGCAUAAGCCAGCUUGACUGCGAGCGUGACGGCGCGAGCAGGUGCGAAAGCAGGUCAUAGUGAUCCGGUGGUUCUGAAUGGAAGGGCCAUCGCUCAACGGAUAAAAGGUACUCCGGGGAUAACAGGCUGAUACCGCCCAAGAGUUCAUAUCGACGGCGGUGUUUGGCACCUCGAUGUCGGCUCAUCACAUCCUGGGGCUGAAGUAGGUCCCAAGGGUAUGGCUGUUCGCCAUUUAAAGUGGUACGCGAGCUGGGUUUAGAACGUCGUGAGACAGUUCGGUCCCUAUCUGCCGUGGGCGCUGGAGAACUGAGGGGGGCUGCUCCUAGUACGAGAGGACCGGAGUGGACGCAUCACUGGUGUUCGGGUUGUCAUGCCAAUGGCACUGCCCGGUAGCUAAAUGCGGAAGAGAUAAGUGCUGAAAGCAUCUAAGCACGAAACUUGCCCCGAGAUGAGUUCUCCCUGACUCCUUGAGAGUCCUGAAGGAACGUUGAAGACGACGACGUUGAUAGGCCGGGUGUGUAAGCGCAGCGAUGCGUUGAGCUAACCGGUACUAAUGAACCGUGAGGCUUAACCUUACAACGCCGAAG
rnacentral:rRNA from 1 species